rnacentral:tRNA from 1 species
GGCUCAAUGGUCCAGUGGUAAGAUACUCGCUUCGGGUUAGCUAUGCUCUACUCCCGGUCUCUUUUAAAAGGGAUUGAAAAUGUGAGUGGUCCCGGGUUCGAAUCCCGGUUGAGCCC